rnacentral:rRNA from 1 species
UACAGAGGUGGCAAGCGUUGUUCGGAAUUACUGGGCGUAAAGCGCACGUAGGCGGCUUUGUAAGUUAGAGGUGAAAGCCCCGGGGGCUCAACUCCGGAACUGCCUUUAAGACUGCAUCGCUUGAAUCCAGGAGAGGUGAGUGGAAUUCCGAGUGUGAGAGGUGAAAUUCGUAGAUAUUCGGAAGAACACCAGUGGCGAAGGCGGCUCACUGG